UGGCUCCGGUGGGCUAUGGAGAUGAUUCAACUUCCAGAGACUUCCUCAUAAAUUUUUGAAAUUUUUGAGACACAGAUAAACUUCGGGUGAUCGAGGUCAGCUAUUUUUCUGCAUCCAGCAGCCACAAUAGUCAUCGGUGUACUGCCACAGGAGGAGUUAUUUUAUAGAGCAACCUGUUUUCUUCCUCGCAGGUUUAACGUCGAUUAUUUAAUUGUUUUACUAUCUUUUUUAAAUUUAAAAUCUAGAACUCCGCAUGUAUUAGUAAUAG